GCGCCGUGAGCAUGACAGGUGAUGCACCGGGCUCUUACCCCGGGGAACAGAGAUCGAGACUCUGACGGCGCA
rnacentral:tRNA from 1 species